UGGGGAAUAUUGCACAAUGGGGGAAACCCUGAUGCAGCGACGCCGCGUGAGCGAGGAAGGUUUUCGAAUCGUAAACCUCUUUCCUAGGGGAAGAUCAUGACGGUACCAUCGGAGGAAGCACCGGCUAACUACGUGCCAGCAGCCGCGGUAAUACGUAGGGGGCAAGCGUUGUCCGGAAUCACUGGGCGUAAAGGGUUCGCAGGCGGAAAUGCAAGUCAGUUGUGAAAGGCAGAGGCUCAACCACUGUAAGCAAUUGAAAAUGUAUUUCUUGAGAUGUGGAGAGGCAAGUGGAAUUCCUAGUGUAGCGGUGAAAUGCGUAGAUAUUAGGAAGAAUACCGGUGGCGAAGGCGACUUGCUGGACACAAACUGACGCUGAGGAACGAAAGCGUGGGUAGCAAACAGG
rnacentral:rRNA from 1 species